rnacentral:rRNA from 1 species
UACGGAGGAUCCGAGCGUUAUCCGGAUUUAUUGGGUUUAAAGGGAGCGUAGGCGGGUUGUUAAGUCAGUUGUGAAAGUUUGCGGCUCAACCGUAAAAUUGCAGUUGAUACUGGCAUCCUUGAGUACAGUAGAGGUAGGCGGAAUUCGUGGUGUAGCGGUGAAAUGCUUAGAUGUCACGAAGAACUCCGAUUGCGAAGGCAGCCUGCUGGACUGUAACUGACGCUGAUGCUCGAAAGUGUGGGUAUCAAACAGG